UAAAGGGUUCACAAACUUUCAAGCACCACUAUACAUAUAGAAUUCACUUCGGAUAUUGUUUACUGAAGAGCUGAUGAAACAUUGAGUUGAGGAAAAGGCGAUGAAUUUGCCUGUAUGUUGACUCGUGCAGGGAUGAGAUAUAUUCUGUAAAUAUGUCCUUAGGAACUUCUGUGUUUCCCAAAUCCACUAUGGCAUCUGGCUCUCCCAACAGUGUAGCACCCUGAAAACAAUGAACAAUACAUGACCGAGUCUUUCACAACACAACACAUGACUCUGCUCUUUCGGUGUGCUGUUGUAUGAGAAUUGUGCUGUUUAUCUGACAAUGAAUUUCUUGAUGAACAAACAAGAAAUAAAACACUGAAGACUAGUUUACACGUCUUACCGGUGGGCAGUUUGUUAUACCCUGUCCCCCAAAGAAAUACUCCGCUCCAUGGAUUACUACUGAUGUGUGCCUAAAUCCAAAUAACACAGCUUUUAACUCUCAUCCGGCAUUUUAUGUCAGCACAAACAUUUUUCAAUGAGAAGCGCGAUCAGGGAGAAUGUAGAGUAGAUAUGGCUUUUAAAUACUUACCAAACUCCUUCCAGUUGUUUUCCUGUCAAUCAGAAUGCGAGGGUUAAUUUGGUAAAUGGUUUUACAAGUAAAGAAUAUUUGGUUUACCUGGCAGCUAAUUCACUUUAGCUGGAAUCUUGCUAACAAUCACAAGUUGCUCACCUAACAGCAGAGGACUGAGCUGGCGAGCAAGUCCCUUUGACAGGUCAUAAAUAUAGAGCUUCACACUGUAGGUCUGAUCCUCCAUCACUCAGUGCGACUUUUAAAGCAAUAAAAACGGGAUAAGACUACAGUGAGACGUUCCGCCGGAUUUUGUUUGAGGUUAUCCUCCGAUUUAAAAGUUUAAGACGACAGGAACAUAAAGCGGAUGACUGUGCUAUUUACAUCAGGAAACAAAAACCGUCUCGUUUAUACUCCACAGCGACAGGUGGCGAUAUAAAACGCAAAAGUUUGUAAACAGGACUUUUCAUGCAGUGGUCCUAUGUAUUGACGUGUCUAACACAUUUGUAUUAAAAAAAAUGCUGCUCUUUUUAGCUGGUACAAGUUUCUGAAAGGUCAGUCUAAUCUAAGGUAAAUAUUUCUGCAGUGAUUCGGUUACAUUCCGGUUUCUAUUUACUCGUCGAUCCGUACCCGAACACUUCCGCCUGCACAAACCACGCCCUCUAAGACUUUGAUUGGUGUAAGUGGUUCCAUGCUUGUCGUUGAUUGGAUUGUUGCACUGUCAAUCAAAUUGUAGCCUUUUGGAAUUGGACCACACAGCCGCGCGGGGUUCUGUUUUUCCGCUGCGAAGAAGCCAAAGGAAGUUGCUAACUCAUUAUAGAUUCCUUUCUAGAAAUAAAGUCUGGAGUUUAUUUAAGGAGACUAAGGAAACUUAUAAACAUUUUGCCCUCUGGGGAAAGAAUUCGUUCGGUUACAGGGUGAAAAGAAGAGAAUGGCUGAUUGGUCAGAUUACCGAAAUGAUGAUGACGACGAGGUUGAGCAAGAAGAAGGAGAAGAUCCUGCAGGAGAAUACCAGAGCAGUGGGCGUGACAGCUUGGUGUUCUUAGUGGAUGCGUCUAAAGAAAUGUUCGUUAAAGGAGAAGAUGGAGAACCUUCUAACUUUGACAUGACAAUGCAGAGCUCUUGUGCCCUGUGGAUGAGUACGUCACCCUGGAAGAGACUGCUCCCAUCAUGACGAAAAAGCUUCAUGAUGGCAUAAAGAUGUUAUUGCAGAUCGGAUAAAAGUCAAGUCAACACAAAAGCAGACUUUGGCAGCCAGGAAGAAUCCAUUAUUUGUCAAGAAUGAGCACCAGCCUCAACAUAUACAACAGCAGAAGAUUUAAGUAUUAUAUAAUCAUUAUGCAUAUGAACAUUAUAGUAUAUUUAAGCAUUAAACAAAAUUACACAAUAA